rnacentral:lncRNA from 1 species
GGGUGUAUGAAAAAGAAAAGAGUUCCUUGAAUGUACUUAAGUAUGUUCAUCAUUAUUGUUGCAAACUAAUUCAACAAAUAGUUCUUUGGUAUAACUAAAAUAUACUGUUACUAAGAGAGCGAAUUAUAGUUAUAUAAAACCACUGUUAAACUUUCAACGUAAAAUGCACUGAAAUAUUUGUUUCCCCCGCAGCUUAAAACUAUACACGUCAAGGUGCUGAUUUGUUGUUUAGGAUAAUCACUGCAAGUUACAGUGAAAGGUCUUUGAAUUAUAUUAAAAAAACAAACACUUUUAUACUUAUUAUUAUUGAUUUCGAAAUUAAAACGAAAACAACACUUUAUAAAUUUCAAGAGUUUGAAGCGCUUUUUUUUGC